UACAGAGGUCCCAAGCGUUGUUCGGAUUCACUGGGCGUAAAGGGUGCGCAGGUGGCAUGGCAAGUUUGAUGUGAAAGCUCAGGGCUCAACCCUGAAAUGGCAUUGAAUACUGCUGUGCUGGAGGUUUGGAGGGGGGACUGGAAUUCUUGGUGUAGCAGUGAAAUGCGUAGAGAUGUGGAGGAACACCGAUGGCGAAGGCAGCCCCCUGGGCUGAGAUUGACGCUCAGGCACGAAAGCGUGGGGAGCAAACAGG
rnacentral:rRNA from 1 species